rnacentral:rRNA from 1 species
AUUGAACGCUGGCGGCAUGCCUUACACAUGCAAGUCGAACGGUAACGCGGGGCAACCUGGCGACGAGUGGCGAACGGGUGAGUAAUGCAUCGGAACAUGCCCAGUAGUGGGGGAUAGCCCGGCGAAAGCCGGAUUAAUACCGCAUACGACCUAAGGGUGAAAGCGGGGGAUCGCAAGACCUCGCGCUAUUGGAGUGGCCGAUGUCAGAUUAGGUAGUUGGUGGGGUAAAGGCCUACCAAGCCGACGAUCUGUAGCUGGUCUGAGAGGACGACCAGCCACACUGGGACUGGGACACGGCCCAGACUCCUACGGGAGGCAGCAGUGGGGAAUUUUGGACAAUGGGGGAAAUCCUGAUCCAGCCAUGCCGCGUGCGGGAAGAAGGCCUUCGGGUUGUAAACCGCUUUUGUCAGGGAAGAAAUCCUUUGAGCUAAUACCUCGGAGGGAUGACGGUACCUGAAGAAUAAGCACCGGCUAACUACGUGCCAGCCGCCGCCGUAAGAC